GGGGAUAGAAAAUUAUGAUUUAAUAAUUUUUUCUUGUCGAUUGGGUCAGUCGUCAGUUCCCCACAUCCAGGAGACGAGAUCAGUUCGCUUGCAACUGAUACUUGAUAUUUUUUAUAUUUAUUAAUUAUAUAAUUAAAUAAUCAAAUCAUAAUGGCUGCUGAAAAGUACGCGAAGGCAGACCCUGAGUUGAAAGCAGAGCUCAAAAAAAUAGCCGAGUCUAUUGUAGCACCUGGUAAGGGUAUUUUAGCAGCUGAUGAAUCAACAACGACAAUCGGUAAACGUUUGCAAGACAUAAAUGUCGAAAACAAUGAAGACAACCGCAAGGCUUAUCGCCAGUUGUUGUUUACAACCAACAAGGAUGUCAUCAAAGAGCAUAUCUCCGGUGUGAUUCUCUUCCACGAGACUUUGUAUCAAAAAGCCGAUGACGGAACACCAUUCGUACAAUUAAUGAAAGAGCGCAACAUAAUCCCCGGUAUCAAAGUAGACAAAGGUGUUGUCCCAUUAUUUGGAACAGACGACGAGUGCACAACUCAGGGUCUCGAUGAUCUCCAGGCUCGUUGCAUCCAGUACAAAAAAGACGGGUGUCAUUUCGCUAAAUGGCGCUGCGUGUUGAAAAUAAAAGGCAACACGUGUCCCAGUCGGUUGGCCAUUUUGGAGAACGCGAAUGUCUUGGCGCGUUACGCAUCCAUCUGCCAGAGCGCACGAAUUGUACCAAUCGUUGAACCAGAAAUUUUACCAGACGGUGAUCACGAUCUUGCUCGCUGCCAACAAGUCACUGAGGAAGUACUCGCUGCUGUUUACAAGGCACUCAAUGACCAUCACGUUUAUUUGGAGGGAACUCUUUUGAAACCGAACAUGGUCACUCCUGGACAGAGCUGCACCAAGCGGGCGACACCACAGGAAAUAGCAUCGGCUACAGUCAUUGCAUUGCAGCGCACGGUCCCACCAGCGGUGCCUGGAAUCACUUUCUUGAGCGGGGGUCAGUCUGAAGAAGAGGCUUCGGUUAAUCUCGACGCCAUCAAUAAGUACCCGGGUAAAAAACCAUGGGCUUUGACAUUCAGUUACGGCAGAGCUCUACAAGCUUCGGUUUUGAGAGCUUGGUCUGGUAAGAAGGAACAGGUCGCAGCUGGACAAGACGAACUUAUCAAGCGUGCGAAGGCAAAUUCAUUAGCUUGCCAAGGAAAAUAUCGAGCUGGUAGCAUUCCGAGCAAAGCCGCUAAUGUUGACUUGCACAUUAAAGCUCACACUUAUUAAUUACAAUAAUUACUGUCUACUCCACUUUAAUUACAAACUCUCGCACCCUAUCACUGCUCGCAAUACUCUAGACUUUUACUCUUUUUUUAAUUACUCCUUUUAUUUGAAAUUUUUUUUCUACAACAAUAUUUUAUUUUAACGCAAAUAGUGAAGCCUCACUUGGAAAAUAUGCCGGUGGUGUCUCUGGAGCUGCUGGUGACGCUGCAUUAUUUGUUGCUAAUCACGCAUAUUAAUUAAUUAAUUAAUUAAUUAAUUAAAUUAAUCGUAAUAUUAAUUACACACAAACAUUAAUAUAAAAAAUAUAUGAAUAGAAAUAUAUAAAUUUCUUCGUAAUAAAAAUCAAAUUUUUUUUUAGCGCCGAGUUACCAUGAAAAAAAAAAUUAAUAUGAUUAUUAUAUUUUUUAAUUAAAAAUAUUAAUUAAUUUAUGUUAAUUUUUUUUUUUUUAUUAUUAAAGUCAUUCAUAUUUUUUUUAAAUAAUUUAUUUAUGUAAUGGUUUUAAUUAGAGGCUUGAUCACAGUAUUGGAGUAUCGGAAAAAUAUGAAGUAAAUAAAUAUGAUUAUUAAAAAUAUGUUUAUUGACGUUAAUAAUAUAUAUA